rnacentral:rRNA from 1 species
UACGUAGGAGCACAGUGUCGCGAAUUAUUGGGCGUAAAGAGCUCGUAGGCGGUCUGUUGCGUCGCUGUGAAACCCGAGGCUCAACCUCGGGCCUGCAGCCGAUACGGGCAGACUAGAGUUCGGCAGGGGAGACUGGAAUUCCUGGUGUAGCGGUGAAAUGCGCAGAUAUCAGGAGGAACACCGGUGGCGAAGGCGGUGGUCUGGGCCGACACUGACGCUGGAGGCACGAAAGCGUGGGAGCAAACAGG